UAUUUUUCCAGGUGGAUAUUCCUGUUAAUAAUAUAUUUUCUUUUAAAUUGUACUUUCCCAGUUUCCCCUGCCCCUGGAGCCCGUCCAGCAUCCUGGAACUACUUCCCCCCUUAAUUGGAGCUUGGGAUAUAUGUCUUACAAACUGGAGCCAUCCGUUUGUGUCAACAUUAUUUUUUUUUUUAACCAGUUUUAACCUAAGUCCUAUUUCUAGAGCUUUCAUACACAUUUCAUGUACAUUGCUAUUAUUUCUAAUUAAGUACAAGGGAAUGGUGUAGAAAAAACAAAGAACAAAGGGUAAAUGUUGAAAUCAUAUUUUUUUAAAAAGCUGAACAGCCAUAUUAUUAUAUACAAAGCUGCCAAGGUAUAAGUAGAAACAGCUAUGGUAUAGUUGUCAUAGCUACAUUGCAAGAGCUUCAGAUGAGGUACAUUUAUUGGGAUAAAAAUAACCAGAAUAUGCUGAUGUGGUUAGUGUAUGUUGGGC
rnacentral:lncRNA from 1 species